AUCCCAUGAUGAGGACAAGUGGCAAUAUAUUCUUGGUGCCUCUCUCAAGCUUCUGGAAUUGAUUCCAAAGCUGUGUGCUGAAAACUGGAAAUUUUACCUCUAAGGGC